rnacentral:tRNA from 1 species
GCUCCGGUGGUGUAGACCGGUCAAGCAUUCCGGCCUUUCGAGCCGAUGACCCGGGUUCAAAUCCCGGCCGGAGCA